rnacentral:sRNA from 1 species
CCCCCCCCCCCAGUAUCAUCUGCCUACCUGCAAUGCAGAGGAAUUCAUUGUAUAUAUCAAUAGUCCAACAGUUCUGCCCUUUCAUCAAUAUAUUUCUAAUUUUAUCUGUAUAAGUUAUAAUCUGGAGCCUGUUUUAUCUUGUCAUCAAUGUAACAUUGACCCCACUGCCAUUAUUUGAUUCCCACAUUUUGGCCCAACACUCAAACUAUUCCCCUCUAGUAUUAUUAGAAACUUGCAACAUGAACACAUCAAUUUCUUUAAAAAAUCUCCUGGUUUUUUUUAAAGUUUAAGUGGUUCUGUAAAAUAAAAUUGACCCAAUAUCAAAGAUCUUAAAUGCAGUGGUAAAAUCUGCAUGUCCAGAAAGCCCUUGUCAGAUGUUACAUGUCUUAUGUUAUAAUGAUUGAUGAAAUCCCAUUACAUCUAUUUAUAAUGUCAAUACAAGGGAGUUAAUCCAUGCCGGUCAAAUAUAUCUGACUAGAAUUAAUGAUAUCAUUAGAACCUCCUUUGGUUAAUUUAUUGUCAAUCAUAUUACUUGUAUCUAGGAUCAUUGUUUUAUGAUAAGUGGAUUAGUGUACAAGUUUUGUCAUGUAUUGAAUUAUAUGUUUGGAUGCUGAAUUGAAAGUAAAAUAUUUAAUUU